rnacentral:rRNA from 1 species
UGGGGAAUCUUAGACAAUGGGCGCAAGCCUGAUCUAGCCAUGCCGCGUGAGUGAUGAAGGCCUUAGGGUCGUAAAGCUCUUUCGCCUGUGAAGAUAAUGACUGUAGCAGGUAAAGAAACCCCGGCUAACUCCGUGCCAGCAGCCGCGGUAAUACGGAGGGGGUUAGCGUUGUUCGGAAUUACUGGGCGUAAAGCGCGCGUAGGCGGACAUUUAAGUCAGAGGUGAAAUCCCAGGGCUCAACCCUGGAACUGCCUUUGAUACUGGGUGUCUUGAGUUCGAGAGAGGUGAGUGGAAUUCCGAGUGUAGAGGUGAAAUUCGUAGAUAUUCGGAGGAACACCAGUGGCGAAGGCGGCUCACUGGCUCGAUACUGACGCUGAGGUGCGAAAGUGUGGGGAGCAAACAGGAUUAGAUACCCUGGUAGUCCACACCGUAAACGAUGAAUGCCAGUCGUCGGGCAGUAUACUGUUCGGUGACACACCUAACGGAUUAAGCAUUCCGCCUGGGGAGUACGGUCGCAAGAUU